GAAGAAAGAGGGCGGCGCGCGGAACACAGGCAAGUCGAACGGAAAGGCCUGCUUUCCCGUGUGGAUUGCGGGUACUCGAGUGGCGAACGGGUGAGUAACACGUGAGUGAUCUGCCCCCAACUUGGGUAGAAGCCUGGGAAACUGGGUCGAAGUCCCGAUAGUAAGGCAGGGGGGUGGGCGUGGUGGAAAACGAUUGGCUAGUGGGGGGGGAUGAGCUCGCGGCCUAUCAGCUUGUUGGUGGGGUAAUGGCCUACCAAGGCGGCGACGGGUAGCCGGCCUGGGCCGGUGGACGGCCACAUUGGGACUGAGAUACGGCCCAGACUCCUACGGGAGGCAGCAGUGGGGAAUAUUGCACAAUGGGCGGAAGCCUGAUGCAGCGACGCCGCGUGGGGGAUGACGGCCUUCGGGUUUUGCACUCCUUUCGACCGCGAGGAAGCCACCUGGUUGGAAGGGUGGUGACGGUAGUGGUAGCAGCAGCCCCUUCUCCCUACGUC
rnacentral:rRNA from 1 species